UACGAAGGGGGCUAGCGUUGUUCGGAAUCACUGGGCGUAAAGCGCACGUAGGCGGAUUUUUAAGUCAGGGGUGAAAUCCCGAGGCUCAACCUCGGAACUGCCUUUGAUACUGAGGAUCUUGAGUUCGGGAGAGGUGAGUGGAACUGCGAGUGUAGAGGUGAAAUUCGUAGAUAUUCGCAAGAACACCAGUGGCGAAGGCGGCUCACUGGCCCGAUACUGACGCUGAGGCACGAAAGCGUGGGGAGCAAACAGGG
rnacentral:rRNA from 1 species